AGUGAACGCUGGCGGUAGGCCUAACACAUGCAAGUCGAACGGCAGCACAGUAAGAGCUUGCUCUUACGGGUGGCGAGUGGCGGACGGGUGAGGAAUACAUCGGAAUCUACUUUUUCGUGGGGGAUAACGUAGGGAAACUUACGCUAAUACCGCAUACGACCUACGGGUGAAAGCAGGGGAUCUUCGGACCUUGCGCGAUUGAAUGAGACGAUGUCGGAUUAGCUAGUUGGCGGGGUAAAGGCCCACCAAGGCGACGAUCCGUAGCUGGUCUGAGAGGAUGAUCGGCCACACUGGAACUGAGACACGGUCCAGACUCCUACGGGGGCCAGCAGUGGGGAAUAUUGGACAAUGGGCGCAAGCCUGAUCCAGCCAUACCGCGUGGGUGAAGAAGGCCUUCGGGUUGCAAAGCCCUUUUGUUGGGAAAGAAAAGCAGCAGGUUAAUACCCCGCUGUUCUGACGGUACCCAAAGAAUAAGCACCGGCUAACUUCGUG
rnacentral:rRNA from 1 species